UGGGGUGUGGCCAAGCGGUAAGGCAACGGGUUUUGAUCCCGUCAUGCGUAGGUUCGAAUCCUACCACCCCAGCCA
rnacentral:tRNA from 3 species